GUGCUAAGCUAAAUGAGAGCAUACCAGUACGCGGAUUUCUCUUUGACCCUGCACAUGCAUUACUUUUGGUAUUAAGGGAUCUGUGUGCUGGAAUAUAGCAGACCUUUAUUACAAUCGUUUUAUGCACACUAUAGAUUUUUUACUCAUUAACAAUUUAUUCUUCUUGUCUGGUGUUCGAACCAUCGGAUUGGUGUGUGUACUAGACAGUUGCCAGUCACCGUCGUUUACCUCCAACUCACCGGCCAGCCGCCAUCAUCUACCUCCUGUCUUAUUGGAUCGCCGGACAGCCGCCAUCGGCUACCUCCCGCCUUGCCGGACAGCGCGGUCGUCUAACUUUGUCUCACCGGACAGCCACCGCUGUCUACCUCUGCCUCGUAGUUAAUUGUGUACUAGAAAUUCCUUCUGAGAACUUGUUAGGUUAUUCUAACUCUGCCAUGUAUCCAGGAUCUUGUUUACUGAAUAUGUACUUUUAUUUAGUGAUUUUCAUUUUCAUGGCACUUCCAUGAUUUAUUUCAUUUUUUGUUAUAUAUUUUCCAAGAUUUUUAUUUUAUUUUUCCCUAAUGGCCAUGGCGUGAGAGCGGACUGCUAGCGGGCUGG
rnacentral:lncRNA from 1 species